rnacentral:rRNA from 1 species
CGUAGCCGACCUGAGAGGGUGAUCGGCCACACUGGAACUGAGACACGGUCCAGACUCCUACGGGAGGCAGCAGUAGGGAAUCUUCCGCAAUGGGCGAAAGCCUGACGGAGCAACGCCGCGUGAGUGAUGAAGGUCUUCGGAUCGUAAAGCUCUGUUGUUAGGGAAGAACAAAUGUGUAAGUAACUGUGCACAUCUUGACGGUACCUAACCAGAAAGCCACGGCUAACUACGUGCCAGCAGCCGCGGUAAUACGUAGGUGGCAAGCGUUAUCCGGAAUUAUUGGGCGUAAAGCGCGCGUAGGCGGUUUUUUAAGUCUGAUGUGAAAGCCCACGGCUCAACCGUGGAGGGUCAUUGGAAACUGGAAAACUUGAGUGCAGAAGAGGAAAGUGGAAUUCCAUGUGUAGCGGUGAAAUGCGCAGAGAUAUGGAGGAACACCAGUGGCGAAGGCGGCUUUCUGGUCUGCAACUGACGCUGAUGUGCGAAAGCGUGGGGAUCAAACAGGAUUAGAUACCCUGGUAGUCCACGCCGUAAACGAUGAGUGCUAAGUGUUAGGGGGUUUCCGCCCCUUAGUGCUGCAGCUAACGCAUUAAGCACUCCGCCUGGGGAGUACGGUCGCAAGACUGAAACUCAAAGGAAUUGACGGGGACCCGCACAAGCGGUGGAGCAUGUGGUUUAAUUCGAAGCAACGCGAAGAACCUUACCAAAUCUUGACAUCCUUUGACCGCUCUAGAGAUAGAGUUUUCCUCUUCGGAGGACAAAGUGACAGGUGGUGCAUGGUUGUCGUCAGCUCGUGUCGUGAGAUGUUGGGUUAAGUCCCGCAACGAGCGCAACCCUUGAACUUAGUUGCCAUCAUUCAGUUGGGCACUCUAAGUUGACUGCCGGUGACAAACCGGAGGAAGGUGGGGAUGACGUCAAAUCAUCAUGCCCCUUAUGAUUUGGGCUACACACGUGCUACAAUGGACAAUACAAAGGGCAGCGAAACCGCGAGGUCAAGCAAAUCCCAUAAAGUUGUUCUCAGUUCGGAUUGUAGUCUGCAACUCGACUACAUGAAGCUGGAAUCGCUAGUAAUCGUAGAUCAGCAUGCUACGGUGAAUACGUUCCCGGGUCUUGUACACACCGCCCGUCACACCACGAGAGUUUGUAACACCCGAAGCCGGUGGAGUAACCAUUUUGGAGCUAGCCGUCGAAGGUGGGACAAAUGAUUGGGGUGAAGUCGUAACAAGGUAGCCGUAUCGGAAGGUGCGGCUGGAUCACCUCCUUU